UGUGUACAUGUUCAUGUGGUUUGUUCCAGAGGUUGUUUAUCUUGAUUCUUGUUGCCGUCUUGUUUCAUUGAGCUUCAUAAGCAACAGUUGAUGUUAACUCCAUGGGAACAGAUACUUAAAUCAGCUCAAAAUAUGCUCUUCAAUGAAGAACUGUUUGCACAGAUUAUACAAUCAUUUGUGAUCAGGAACUUGUAUUAUAUAAUGUGAAACUAUAAUUAACUAUUUAAGAAAGGUCAUGAUGAGUGGGUGGUCAUCGAACCUUAUCACUAUAAAGAGUAAAGAAAAACUACUCACACAAGUCACGUAUCUUGUACAGGUUGAUAUGGGAGGAGUUCCAGCAACACUGGUUAAUAUUGUGUCAAGAUGUCAGCCAUUAGCAGUGGCAUAAUUAUGUGAUUAGACAAAUAGAAAUGGAAGAGAGAGUAGACCCAGUUUAUUAUCAGGUACUGAUUUACUUAGUGAUCUAACUAUGAUGUAUAAAACAUAAUUAUGUAUCAUGUAUUAUGGAGUUAUUGGCAUAUAUACUAGUAUAAUAAUAGUAAUGACAU